CCGACCACUUCGCCGUCUGACUUUAUUGAGAAUGUGGAAGCUGGGAGGCAGGGAGGAAUGGCCGCAUGAUUAAUGCAUUUAUUUCCCCCCCCAUUUAAUCAUAUACAGGAAUUAGGAAGGUAACACGAAGCCUACUUGGACUUCUUUCUCUAUCCGUGGAAAUAUGAAUGUAGGGCGACAAUCACAUGGAAGCGAUUCUCCGUGGAUUGAAAAAUAACUUUAUUUAUUUAUCGUGUUUACGCCGCCGUGGCUCCACGACUUCUUGUUAAUUAAGCGGCAGAUUGCGCGUGGGAAGGUGACUGGAUCGCUAGGAUGGAUCAGGUGACUAUCCUGAAGAAAUUCAUUCAGGGGGUUCAUGCCAUGCAAGCUGGGGACCAGAGGGGAGAGGACAACUUCGGCAGUGACUUCAUGAGGCUGCGCAGGCUGUCGACGAAGUACAGGACGGAGAAGAUCUACCCCACCAGCGUUGGAGAGAGAGAGGAGAAUGUGAAGAAGAACCGAUACAAAGACAUACUGCCAUUUGAUCACAGCCGAGUGAAGCUUUCGUUGCAAACUUCUAACCAGGACACGGACUACAUCAACGCCAACUUCUUAAAGGGGGUCGAAGAAGCAGAGGCCUACAUCGCCACCCAGGGGCCCCUACCCAACACAGUGGUGGACUUCUGGAGGAUGAUCUGGGAGUAUAACGUGUCGGUCAUCGUGAUGGCAUGUCGCGAAUUCGAGAUGGGAAGGAAAAAGUGUGAGCGGUACUUUCCGACACUUGGUGACCCGCCCCUGAGGCUCGGGCCCUUCAGGAUCUCGUGUGAAUCGGAACAACCCAGAACCGACUACAUCCUCCGAACUCUGACGGCAGAAUACCAGAAUGAGUCGCGUCGACUCACGCAGUUCCACUAUAUCAACUGGCCCGACCACGACGUGCCAUCGUCGUUCGACUCCAUCCUGGAUAUGAUCGCCCUCAUGAGGGAGUACCAGGAACACGAAGAUGUGCCCAUCUGCAUCCACUGCAGCGCGGGCUGCGGGAGGACUGGCGCCAUCUGUGCCAUCGACUACACGUGGAACCUGCUCAAAGCUGGGAAGAUUCCAGAAGACUUCAACGUGUUCCGGCUCAUUCAGGAAAUGAGGACGCAUAGGCAUUCGGCGGUGCAGACGAAGGAGCAGUACGAGCUCGUCCACAGGGCCAUCGCUCAGCUCUUCCAGCAGCAGCUCCUGCAGCUGGAGGGCACCUCCCUCUGCCGCAUCUCUGAGCGCCUGGAUGGAGACAGUCUGGGGGGGCAGGGAGGAAGUUCAGAUGAGGAGAACGUGGAAUGUCCCCCACCGAAACCACCGCGAGUCCGCAGUGUCUGUCCGGAGGAGGGGGACAUCAGGGAGGAGAUAUUGCAGCCGCCAAAGCCACGGCCGGUGCCACCCAUUCUCUUACCCUCGCCCCCGUCUGCCUUCCCCACAGUCACCAAUGUACGGCAGGACAAUGACCGCUACCACCCCAAACCUAUCCUGCAUAUGCUGGUGUCUGAACAGGCGGGGGGGCUUGGCGAGAGCCACGAAGCCCCCCCUGCCCCUGCUUCAGUACCUGCCCCUGCACCCUUCCCCUCCCCCGCCCCAGUCCCCGUCCUCAGCCCCUCUUCUGGCCCUACCCCCUCUCCCGCCACUGCCCCCUUGCCCACUGCCGCCCCCGUUCCUGUCCCCGCCCCCACGGAGGGUCCAGAAAGGCGUCUGGACCGCAAGCUCAGCAUCGAGAUCCAGCGGGUACCUCUGCAGGAAGGCCCACGGAGCUUUGAGGGCAGCACCCGGCUCCAGCGUGGUCAUGCCUUCAAGGGAAAGACCCACCGCAGCUGCUCCCUGGACCGCCAGCCCUGCACUGCCAACGCGCCAGUCCAAACCGUACAGCUCCUCGUCGGGGAGGGCGACCCUCCCUCUGCCGAAAAACGGCCCUCUCCCUGCGAUCAGCCCAAGGCUCCCAGCCACACGGUGGCUCUCAGCUUCACCAACCCCCUACACUCGGACAACUCAGACUCUGAGGACGCGGCGGACGGACUAGAUACAGAUGCUCCAGAUGCACGGGGCGCCCCGGUGGAGGCAUCGAGCCACGGGCAGAUCUCAGCCUUGUGGAUGACAGCCAGUACGUUGGUCCCCCAUGGAGCCGUGCGAUUGUGGGUGGGCUGUUUGGAAGCUAUGGGUGGCUUUUAUAGGCUGUGCUGUUAUGGAGGUCAGAAGUACUAUGCAGGCUGCUGCUGAAUAGCUUGUAAUCUGACACACGCGCACACACACUCACAGGGAAAAGACUUUCGGAUUACAAGACCUACAGCAGUGUUUUUUUGCUUAACAGAUGUUUCAUCAGAAUCAUUUAGCAACAAAAUGUGACCAGGAAAGAUAAAAGAUCUAUAAAGUGUCCUACUGUUUUAUCCCUCACGCAGAAUUCAGUCAGUGUCACAGUUAAUACACAUGUUACAAAUGUCAGCAAACCUGUUUUCUUGCUGGGUUGGCUGUGACGCGAUGCAUCGCGUUGGUUUAUUCUCGUCAUCUGCAUCUGGCCCAGCAUGUCACCUGUUGUGUCACUUGCAUGUGUUUCUGGGAGCUGGGAGACUGGACUGGUGUGGGCAAGGCGCCAUGUUUCUGCACGAACGGGAUGCUGCAUGCCUAUUUGGAUGGGCCGCUUAUGAGCGAGGCAAGGGCUGGUGAAACUAUCGUUGGUGGGGGGGGGGGGCACGCCCUGCUGUGAGGCACCGCCUUGCGUGUCAGCACUGGUCUGCUCUAUGUCACUAAUUCCGCUGCACCUCUUCCUCCUUGCUCAAGUGCAGACGCUGUAGCAAUUCACAGUGAGAAUCCCCUUAGCGUAUUCGGCUGCUUGGUUUUCAUGCUGGGCUUCACUUGGGGUUACCCCUUGUGUGUAUUGGCUGCCGGUUACUGGUAAUUUGUUACUGCCUUGUCAGUAAUGCCUGCUCUUGUCCGAUUCAGAUUGCGAUGCAAGUGCUGACUUCCCUUGCCCCAGACCAAGAAUCCCCUUGAAUCCAUCUGUGUGGCUGCAGGUUUGUUCUGUGCGUAGUACUCUCCUUUGUCACUAGGGGGAGCCAGAAAUGCCUUUGCAGACCGUGGCCUGGAUUGGUUUUCCCGCAUGUACUUCUUUGGCCGACAUUACCUGUGGCAGGACUCCCCCCCCGGAUGUGAAACACAGCUGAAGAAAGGGUAGAACAAGUAGAGCCUCUGCAUGAAGCUCGGCUCCUGGUUUGUUUUUGUAAACCACCAGCAGAUCCGAUCGUUUGCUUGUCUUUUGAAAUGCAGCAGGGGGUUGAUGUCUGGCUUAUGAUUGAUCUUGUUUUGCUUGUGUUGUUCAGCUUUGUACUCCGAGAGAUGUUCUCCUUUUUGAACUAUUGCUUACUGACUGACACCUGUGUGUUUUGAUUGUGUAGGGAGGGGAAAAAAGCACAGUAUAAUUGCAUGAGAAGAGUAUGGCGCGUCUGGGUUAGAAUGUGUGGCAAUGUGACGGACCUGCUAGCAGUGAAGCAUAUGUCAUCAGUCGUCAGUUCUUAGCGUCCACCGUCAGAUAUUCCCGCAGCCCCUCGCCAGCGGAGCUACAGUGGUGUGUGUCGGUGGUUAUCAUGCUAUUGUUUCUGUUUGGAUUGAUCCAAAAGGCAGCAGACACGUCAAAGCUUUGACUUACCAUCGCGUGCCGGCAGGGGGCUGCUGUCUAGAACUCCACUCCCAACUUCUAUGUGGGCUCUUUGUUUUGUCGUGGAAGGGCUCCGGCAGUUCUCAUUAGCUCCAUUUACUUAAUGCUUCCUUGAACUUCUUGCAGUUCACUUGUGGAGGACAGGAGACUCACCCAGUACCUGUGGGUCAGGAAUCUCAACAGACCAAAGCAUGUUUACGGAAGGUCCAGGAACCGAAACGGACUCUACUCAGAGUAACGGGACAAUCGGGCAUGGAGAGAACG